rnacentral:rRNA from 1 species
CAUAUGCUUGUCUCAAAGAUUAAGCCAUGCAUGUCUGAGUACAGACCGAUCUAAGGUGAAACCGCGGAAUGGCUCAUUAAAUCAGUCAUAAUUCCUUGGAUAGUGAAAAACUUUCCUCGGAUAACUGUGGAAAAUCCAGAGCUAAUACGUGCAACUGAGCUCCGACCUAGGCGUAAGUCUUGGGAAGAGCGCAUUUAUUAGAUUCAAAACUGACCGGUGUACUCCUUCGGGAUACGCCGUUUGUCAAAUGUUUGAUGACUCCGGAUAACUUAGCCGAGCGCUACGGUCUUUAGUACCGGCGCCGUAUCUUUCAAGUGUCUGCCUUAUCAGCUUUCGAUUGUAGGUUAAACGCCUACAAUGGCUGUAACGGGUAACGGGGAAUCAGGGUUCGAUUCCGGAGAGGGAGCCUGAGAAACGGCUACCACAUCUAAGGAAGGCAGCAGGCACGUAAAUUACCCACUCCCAGCCCGGGGAGGUAGUGACGAAAAAUAACGAUGCGAGACUCUUCCGAGGCCUCGCAAUCGGAAUGAGUCCAUUUUAAAUCCUUGGACGAGGAUCCAUUGGAGGGCAAGUCUGGUGCCAGCAGCCGCGGUAAUUCCAGCUCCAAUAGCGUAUAUUAAAGUUGCUGCGGUUAAAAAGCUCGUAGUUGAAUCUCCUAGAUCCAUUUCGUGGGCGAGUCGCUCGUUGUGCCGUCGGUGUCGUGCGGUUCCUGGACGAUGUCUCGAAGCGUUUUCUCCUUAUCGGUUUCGGCCGUGUAGGGGGAAUAACGCCCGGGUACUAUUGUCUCGUGGACGGCGAAUCGUGGUCUUCGAGUAUAGCUCGUCCGCGUUUGGUACAAUUAAAAAUUUGUUGGCUCGCUCGGAGUGCUCUUUACCGAGUGUUCCAGGGUGGCCGACACGUUCACUUUGAAAAAAUUAGAGUGCUUAAAGCAUGGCUCAUAUACGGCCUGAAUGUCUGUGCAUGGAAUGAAGUAACAGGACCUCGAUUCUGUUCUUUUUGUCGGUUUUAAUGAACCGAGGUAAUGAUUAAAAGGGACAGACGGUGGCAUUAGUAUUGCGGCGCUAGAGGUGAAAUUCUUGGACCGUCGCAAGACUAACUACUGCGAAAGCAUUUGCCAAGAAUGUUUUCAUUAAUCAAGAACGAAAGUUAGAGGAUCGAAGGCGAUCAGAUACCGCCCUAGUUCUAACCCUAAACUAUGCUAACUAGCGAUCCGCCGGAGUCAUUCCCACGACCCGGCGGGAAGCCCCAGGGAAACCAAAGUCUUUGAGUUCCGGGGGAAGUAUGGUUGCAAAGCUGAAACUUAAAGGAAUUGACGGAAGGGCACCACCAGGAGUGGACUGCGGCUUAAUUUGACUCAACACGGGAAACCUCACCAGGCCCGGACAUUAUAAGGAUUGACAGAUUGAGAGCUCUUUCUCGAAUUAAUGGGUGGUGGUGCAUGGCCGUUCUUAGUUGGUGGAGUGAUCUGUCUGGUUGAUUCCGAUAACGAACGAGACUCUACCCUACUAACUAGUCGGCGGAUCGUAACCCUGAGAUGGUUAGUUUGUAUAGGGGAGUUCGCCUCUGCCAAGUUCGCUCCGGACUGGGAGUUUAUCUCUUUCGUACGGCGCUCGUUUCGAUCGUUAGCUAUUCGCGUAGCGAAUCGGUCGUACGGGCGUAUCGGCGGGGGUUACAUUCUCUCUUACGGUACGCGGCGCUGUAGUGGGCUGCUUUCCGAUUACUGCUACUGCUGGGGGCGUCCGUCGCAAUAUAUCUUCUUAGAGGGAUCAGCGGCGUCUAGUCGCACGAGAAAGAGCAAUAACAGGUCUGUGAUGCCCUUAGAUGUUCUGGGCCGCACGCGCGCUACAAUGUAGGGCUCAGCGUGCUUUCCCUCUCCGAAAGGAGCGGGUAACCCCAUGAAACCCCUACGCGAUUGGGAUUGGGGAUUGCAAAUAUUUCCCAUAAACGAGGAAUUCCCAGUAAGCGCGAAUCAUCAAUUCGUGUUGAUUACGUCCCUGCCCUUUGUACACACCGCCCGUCGCUACUACCGAUUGAAUGAUUCAGUGAGGGCAUCGGACUGGCGCCUUCGUUUAGUAACAUAGACCUUAGGACGACGGAAAGAUGUCCGAACUUGAUCAUUUAGAGGAAGUAAAAGUCGUAACAAGGUUUCCGUAG